rnacentral:lncRNA from 1 species
GGGCAGGCAGCUAGGGAGUGUGUCGGCCACGUGAUGAGCCUGCCAUGGUGUCCAGAUGGACAUGUGGUAUUUGGUUUAAAGCCCACGCUACUGGGGCAUAAACAGCUGAGGAUAAAUGAUCAGACUCAAUUGUUCUCUCCUUUCCCAGGAAAGGCCAGGAAGGAAAAGGCCCCAGUUUAAGGGAGAAGGCAUUGUCCUCAGUGGAUGAAGCAUAGUCAGGUAGCCCGGUCUGGCAGGGGGCCAGUGGGGAGCACGAGAUUCUCAUGGCUGCUGUGGCUGGUGGCCGCCUUUACAACAAUAGCAUAUUGGACUCCUGUCCUUCCCAUCCCACCUCUGAAAUGAUCACACCCAUGUUAAAUCUCUGAUAAGAUACUAUCAGAUACUCCAAAGUCCAGUUUGGAACUACAGUCUUUGCUUGACUCAAUCCAGAAUCCUUUCUCUCUCCCUGGUCCUAUCUCCCCAUCUAAUCCCCCUCAAUUCUUCUUUCUAUCCAGCUGCUAAGGUCCCUGGGCCAUCAGAAGCGAAUAGAACAAACCUAAGACAUCACUCUCCAUCAAGAGGCCUGCAUGACUCUUUAUUUACAUCAUCUUCCAGGAAGAGGAGGAGGAGCUGCUUUGGGGACACCCACUUCCUCUCCUUACGUAACAACACACUGCAUUUGCACAAGUGUCCUUGGUUGUAAAGGGUUCCACACUCACUUUCUUAUUCAGGGCUUAUUACAAGCCUCUCAGGUAGCUAUGGUCAUGGUACCCUGAUCCCUUGUCAAAGAUGAGCCCACUGAGGCUCAGGGUGACUACCGUUGUGCCAGGAGUUGCUAAGUGGUGGAUCACAGACUCCAGUUCAGGGGGAGGUAGGGUGGUAAAGAAGCAGCUGGAUGAACCUGGGUUUGAAUCCUGCUCAGAAAUGUUCCAUCUGUGUGACACCACAGGCAAGUGACUUAACCUGAUUGAGCCUCAGCUUCCUGAUCUAGAAAAAAGGGUGAUCAUGCAUCCCUCAUAGAGCUGUGGUGAGCAUUUACGAAUCACGAGUGAAACAUGCAUAGCAUGGGGUUUGGCAGAUAGAAGUCCAGUAAAUGUCUAAGCCCAUCUCCAGCGUUUCUUCUGGUUCCAAGCUCAGGACUAUCCUUUAAGCUAAGUGGUAGAUACUCAAUGAACGUGUUUUGGAUGAUUUAGCCCUCUCCUUUCCCCCAUCCCUCCCCAAGUGAGAGGAUGUUUAUUUGCAGCUCUGUGCUGCAGAGAGCUCUGCAAACAAGGAUUGGCAGCAGUAACUUUCUCCAGCUGGCACAACAAUGAAAGGCCACAGGCCCUGGGGCUGCUCCCUAUGGAUGUCCAGGGAACAGAGGCCAGGCAGCAGGCUGACUGCUCCGGGCACUCCCUGUGGCUUCUUCACUCUAGCUGGCUACCCAGUAUACUGAGUAGCAAAAUGGCCUUUGAAAAGGCCCACCCUGUGGCCAUGAUUUCUAGCAGACCAAAUGAGAGUGUUCUCCUGGGAGCACUGUCAACUCCUCUUGCUGGAGACAAUUCUCUGGGAGCUCCUCAGACCCUACUGGAGCACUGUGUGCUUGGCUUUCUGAAUGCUUAGAGGUGACAGGUGCUUUAGCAGACAUCCAAUCCACAGCGGUUGCCCAGGCAGCACUACACCCCCCACUGUCACUUCAACCGGAGUAACUCCAACCUCAUCUGCUUUAGCUAUGGGUCCUUCAGGGGGAACCGAGGCGCGGACAAGGCAAGUGACCCCCAAGGUCAUACAAUUCUGCCAAGUGCUGAGCAAACACUGCGGACUGGACUUCUGGUCUACUGCUUUCCAUGGCAUCAGCUAAGAUGACUGCUCUGAACCUGGGGCUGCGGCAGCCUCUGAUGAUGGCCGUAGGUAUCUCCUACUCCAUUCUGGAGGCUCCCUGCUGAUCCCUAAUGUGGAAGUCCCCCUCUUCCUCCCCAGUUUGUAAUCCCAGUGGGCACUGAGGUUUGGCCAUCAGCAGCAGAGGAUCCUGCUACAGAUAACUGAAGGGUGGUACUGAAAAAACCAUCAGAUCAGCAGAGAAGCCCCGUCCCCUUAUCCCCAAGGUCCUUGGACAACUCCUCCAACCAGGCACAUUUUUCCUUCCUGGGCUGCACUCAGCUGUGACUGGGCUCCUCUCUCUGGCAUGCCUCCUCCCUGUCCAGAGCUCUUCUAGGUUUUCCCCCUUCUGCCUCCUUUUUUCUUCCUCCUCCACUUCCUUCAGUCUUCUUGGGGCAUUUCAAGCCUAGCACCCAUCUGUGAGUUCCUCUUGGGCUUGUUGGUAAGGUCUAAAGUUUGUUAUCAAGAGAAAUUCCAGCCAAAGUGGAUUGUGAAUAUGAAAAAGAGAGAAAUUACAGCAAACAG